ACUCCUACGGGAGGCAGCAGUGGGGAAUAUUGCACAAUAGGGGAAAGCCCAUCGAUGCAGCCAUGCCGCGUGUGUGAAGAGGCCAUUCGGGUUGGUAAAGACNCUUUUCAGAGGGGAGGAAGGUAGUGUAGUUAACACCUGCAUUAUUUGACGUUACCUACAGAAGAAGCACCGGCUAACUCCGUGCCAGCAGCCGCGGUAAUACGGAGGGUGCGAGCGUUAA
rnacentral:rRNA from 1 species